rnacentral:rRNA from 1 species
GAUGAACGCUGGCGGCGUGCUUAACACAUGCAAGUCGAGCGAAGCAAUUUAAAGGAAGUUUUCGGAUGGAAUUUAGAUUGACUUAGCGGCGGACGGGUGAGUAACGCGUGGGGAACCUGCCUCGUACUGGGGGAUAACAGUUAGAAAUGACUGCUAAUACCGCAUAAGCGCACAGGAUGGCAUCGUCUGGUGUGAAAAACUCCGGUGGUAUGAGAUGGACCCGCGUCUGAUUAGCUAGUUGGUAGGGUAACGGCCUACCAAGGCGACGAUCAGUAGCCGACCUGAGAGGGUGACCGGCCACAUUGGGACUGAGACACGGCCCAAACUCCUACGGGAGGCAGCAGUGGGGAAUAUUGCACAAUGGGCGAAAGCCUGAUGCAGCGACGCCGCGUGAGUGAAGAAGUAUUUCGGUAUGUAAAGCUCUAUCAGCAGGGAAGAAAAUGACGGUACCUGACUAAGAAGCCCCGGCUAACUACGUGCCAGCCGCCGCAGUAA